AAAUGACGGUACCUGACUAAGAAGCACCGGCUAAAUACGUGCCAGCAGCCGCGGUAAUACGUAUGGUGCAAGCGUUAUCCGGAUUUACUGGGUGUAAAGGGAGCGUAGACGGCUGUGUAAGUCUGAAGUGAAAGCCCGGGGCUCAACCCCGGGACUGCUUUGGAAACUAUGCAGCUAGAGUGUCGGAGAGGUAAGUGGAAUUCCCAGUGUAGCGGUGAAAUGCGUAGAUAUUGGGAGGAACACCGGUGGCGAAGGCGGCUUACUGGACGAUGACUGACGUUGAGGCUCGAAAGCGUGGGGAGCAAACAGGAUUAGAUACCCUGGUAGUCCACGCCAUAAACGAUGACUACUAGGUGUCGGGGAGCAAAGCUCUUCGGUGCCGCAGCAAACGCAAUAAGUAGUCCACCUGGGGAGUACGUUCGCAAGAAUGAAACUCAAA
rnacentral:rRNA from 1 species